rnacentral:rRNA from 1 species
GACGAACGCUGGCGGCGUGCUUAACACAUGCAAGUCGAACGGAAAGGCCCUGCUUUUGUGGGGUGCUCGAGUGGCGAACGGGUGAGUAACACGUGAGUAACCUGCCCUUGACAUUGGGAUAACUUCAGGAAACUGGGGCUAAUACCGGAUAGGAGCUCCUGCUGCAUGGUGGGGGUAGGAAAGUUUCGGCGGUUGGGGAUGGACUCGCGGCUUAUCAGCUUGUUGGGGGGGUAGUGGCUUACCAAGGCUUUGACGGGUAGCCGGCCUGGGAGGGUGACCGGCUACAUUGGGACUGAGCUACGGCCCAGGCUCCUACGGGAGGCAGCAGUGGGGAAUAUUGCACAAUGGGCGGAAGCCUGAUGCAGCAACGCCGCGUGCGGGAUGACGGCCUUCGGGUUUUAAACCGCUUUCGCCUGUGACGAAGCGUGAGUGACGGUAAUGGGUAAAGAAGCACCGGCUAACUACGUG